rnacentral:rRNA from 1 species
UUUAUGGGGUGACUGCGUACCUUUUGUAUAAUGGGUCAGCGACUUAUAUUCUGUAGCAAGGUUAACCGAAUAGGGGAGCCGAAGGGAAACCGAGUCUUAACUGGGCGUUAAGUUGCAGGGUAUAGACCCGAAACCCGGUGAUCUAGCCAUGGGCAGGUUGAAGGUUGGGUAACACUAACUGGAGGACCGAACCGACUAAUGUUGAAAAAUUAGCGGAUGACUUGUGGCUGGGGGUGAAAGGCCAAUCAAACCGGGAGAUAGCUGGUUCUCCCCGAAAGCUAUUUAGGUAGCGCCUCGUGAAUUCAUCUCCGGGGGUAGAGCACUGUUUCGGCAAGGGGGUCAUCCCGACUUACCAACCCGAUGCAAACUGCGAAUACCGGAGAAUGUUAUCACGGGAGACACACGGCGGGUGCUAACGUCCGUCGUGAAGAGGGAAACAACCCAGACCGCCAGCUAAGGUCCCAAAGUCAUGGUUAAGUGGGAAACGAUGUGGGAAGGCCCAGACAGCCAGGAUGUUGGCUUAGAAGCAGCCAUCAUUUAAAGAAAGCGUAAUAGCUCACUGGUCGAGUCGGCCUGCGCGGAAGAUGUAACGGGGCUAAACCAUGCACCGAAGCUGCGGCAGCGACGCUUAUGCGUUGUUGGGUAGGGGAGCGUUCUGUAAGCCUGUGAAGGUGUGCUGUGAGGCAUGCUGGAGGUAUCAGAAGUGCGAAUGCUGACAUAAGUAACGAUAAAGCGGGUGAAAAGCCCGCUCGCCGGAAGACCAAGGGUUCCUGUCCAACGUUAAUCGGGGCAGGGUGAGUCGACCCCUAAGGCGAGGCCGAAAGGCGUAGUCGAUGGGAAACAGGUUAAUAUUCCUGUACUUGGUGUUACUGCGAAGGGGGGACGGAGAAGGCUAUGUUGGCCGGGCGACGGUUGUCCCGGUUUAAGCGUGUAGGCUGGUUUUCCAGGCAAAUCCGGAAAAUCAAGGCUGAGGCGUGAUGACGAGGCACUACGGUGCUGAAGCAACAAAUGCCCUGCUUCCAGGAAAAGCCUCUAAGCAUCAGGUAACAUCAAAUCGUACCCCAAACCGACACAGGUGGUCAGGUAGAGAAUACCAAGGCGCUUGAGAGAACUCGGGUGAAGGAACUAGGCAAAAUGGUGCCGUAACUUCGGGAGAAGGCACGCUGAUAUGUAGGUGAAGUCCCUCGCGGAUGGAGCUGAAAUCAGUCGAAGAUACCAGCUGGCUGCAACUGUUUAUUAAAAACACAGCACUGUGCAAACACGAAAGUGGACGUAUACGGUGUGACGCCUGCCCGGUGCCGGAAGGUUAAUUGAUGGGGUCAGCGCAAGCGAAGCUCUUGAUCGAAGCCCCGGUAAACGGCGGCCGUAACUAUAACGGUCCUAAGGUAGCGAAAUUCCUUGUCGGGUAAGUUCCGACCUGCACGAAUGGCGUAAUGAUGGCCAGGCUGUCUCCACCCGAGACUCAGUGAAAUUGAACUCGCUGUGAAGAUGCAGUGUACCCGCGGCAAGACGGAAAGACCCCGUGAACCUUUACUAUAGCUUGACACUGAACAUUGAGCCUUGAUGUGUAGGAUAGGUGGGAGGCUUUGAAGUGUGGACGCCAGUCUGCAUGGAGCCGACCUUGAAAUACCACCCUUUAAUGUUUGAUGUUCUAACGUUGACCCGUAAUCCGGGUUGCGGACAGUGUCUGGUGGGUAGUUUGACUGGGGCGGUCUCCUCCUAAAGAGUAACGGAGGAGCACGAAGGUUGGCUAAUCCUGGUCGGACAUCAGGAGGUUAGUGCAAUGGCAUAAGCCAGCUUGACUGCGAGCGUGACGGCGCGAGCAGGUGCGAAAGCAGGUCAUAGUGAUCCGGUGGUUCUGAAUGGAAGGGCCAUCGCUCAACGGAUAAAAGGUACU